rnacentral:rRNA from 1 species
CCUACGGGUGGCUGCAGUGGGGAAUAUUGCACAAUGGGCGCAAGCCUGAUGCAGCCAUGCCGCGUGUGUGAAGAAGGCCUUCGGGUUGUAAAGCACUUUCAGCGGGGAGGAAGGCGGUGAGGUUAAUAACCUCAUCGAUUGACGUUACCCGCAGAAGAAGCACCGGCUAACUCCGUGCCAGCAGCCGCGGUAAUACGGAGGGUGCAAGCGUUAAUCGGAAUUACUGGGCGUAAAGCGCACGCAGGCGGUCUGUCAAGUCGGAUGUGAAAUCCCCGGGCUCAACCUGGGAACUGCAUUCGAAACUGGCAGGCUAGAGUCUUGUAGAGGGGGGUAGAAUUCCAGGUGUAGCGGUGAAAUGCGUAGAGAUCUGGAGGAAUACCGGUGGCGAAGGCGGCCCCCCGGACAAAGACUGACGCUCAGGUGCGAAAGCGUGGGGAGCAAACAGGAUUAGAUACCCCUGUAGUC